GAUUACAGAGAGAGUUAUAUUAAAGCCUAGAUACUAGAUCUAUAGACUAUUCCAACCGAUUAGAAAUUUAUGUCGUUAAUCCUGACCUCUACUGCGCUAGGGAAACCAUUUGUGAGAUAUUUUAAUCCUUGACGUCUGCAGCGAUUUGUACAUCUCUAAUCACAUUCGCUGCAAUUCUGGCCACAUCGUAUUCGAAUCCUAUCGACUCUUGUGUUGUGAAUAACAAUGCUUACCGGCAGGGAGAGAUUUUUACAUUACCUGGUUUAACGUCUUGAAUUAAAUAUCGAUGUGACCAUAAUGUAGCACUUUUAGUUGACGAAGGUUGCGAGCUGAAUGAAAUGUGCUAUGACGUAGGUAGUACUUGGGUGAAGGACUGCAGGACGUAUAGGUGUACCAAGAUUGUACAGGCUGACUCCAGCAAAUAUUUAAUCUCUCUGGAAAGUUCUCGUGGCUAGAUAAACUUGGCCAGUCUGCGCUACACGGAAUUACGCGAGUCUAUCGAUUUAACAUUUGGGGAGGGAGUUACUCUCUGCUGUACCGUGUAACAUUUUUACCUAAUCCUAUACAAGGUUGGUGCCUUGGUGAUUUACAUGUUGAAUGUCAAGGACGAGCCAGUGGUCAUCAAUCUACCAUAGUUUGGUAGUCAAGCAAAAGACGUUUAUUGGUUUACUUCAGGUGCCAAAGAUGUAUUAAGCCAAGCCAUCAAACUCAAUGACGUCAUAAUGGACAGCUCGGGAAAAACUGAGAUUAUCUUCAGCCAGAAAAACAUUCGUGAGCCAAUAGAAAUGCCAGCAUUAAGUUACGGCUUUAUUGUCAUUCCUGAAGCCAAUGUUGAAAGGUGUCAUGAUCAGCCCCCGGCAACAAAAGUUGAAUCUAGAGAAUCAGUGGCGAAACAUACCAAACACUCACACUCUACUGGUAUCAGCACUAGAUUAGAAAUGUGGUUUUUCAAACUCUGUUUGCUUACGUACUUCAAUGUUAUUUAACGAGAAUCUCGCUAGUUAGCGUUUUGUUGACGACAUAACUAAAAACUGAUUUUUUAUAUUAGAAGUAAAAGUAAUAUUUAUAUAAUGAGUGUUUAGUUUAAAAUGUAGAUUGAAAAAAAAAAUGACAUGCUAAGAUACUUGAACAGCUUUAUCAGUUUCAUUUGUUUUUAAUAUAAUAUAACAUAUUAAUAAUAUAAUAUUACUUUUUAUAUCAGGGGAGAUUAUUAAAACGGGAGUGAACAACUGCGUUAUUUUUUAAUUUUUUUUUUGUGUAUGUAGCAGGCGUACAGAUUAUGCAAAUUGUGUUUUUGUUUUGAUUCUUGUUUUUUUAAAAACCUGUUUCUGCGAAAGUACGAAAUGAUCUUUAUAAAAAAAUAUUUUCUCAAAUAGUGAUGAUAGUGUGUCAGAGUCAAGGUAAUUGGGCUUAGAUUUAUUGUAUUAAAAUGAAAAAAAAAAAGAUAUUGUUGUAGAUUGUGAUUCCUUAAAAGAUGAAUCAUAAACAAGAAAAUUAAAAAAAAAUACUUUAAAAAAAAAGAAAAAAAAAGAGUACUCACAUUAGUUAGUUUGGAUAAGCCAUGUAAUUAAAUUUAUUUAUAAAAUAAUUUAUAAAGAUAAAGAAAAAGGUAGUAACGACCUGAAUUCGAACUCAUGGGCCAGAUAUAUUUUAGUUUAAAACCCUCCAACGCUUCAAGAAACACCAGGGAUGCAUUAGGAAUAAGAUAUAUCUAAUAGGAAUAAUUGUAACUGUAGAAUACGCCAACAAAAGUUGAAUUCCUAAAUAUACAUCAACGAUAAAAACUGCAUUAUAGUGUACUCCUAUUUAUUUAAU